UAUACCCAAAACAAUGAAAGCCCUGCCUCUCUUUCAUCCUUACGGCUCCGUGUCCGUGCCAGUGUGAAUCAGGAUUUGCCAAAAACUU
rnacentral:sRNA from 17 species